CUUUCAGUGAGUGGCGAACGUUUGAGUAACACGUGGACAACCUGCCUCAAGGCUGGGGAUAACAUUUGGAAACAGAUGCUAAUACCGAAUAAAACUCAGUGUCGCAUGACACAAAGUUAAAAGGCGCUUUGGCGUCACCUAGAGAUGGAUCCGCGGUGCAUUAGUUAGUUGGUGGGGUAAAGGCCUACCAAGACAAUGAUGCAUAGCCGAGUUGAGAGACUGAUCGGCCACAUUGGGACUGAGACACGGCCCAAACUCCUACGGGAGGCUGCAGUAGGGAAUCUUCCACAAUGGUCUAAAGCCUGAUGGAGCAACGCCGCGUGUGUGAUGAAGGCUUUCGGGUCGUAAAGCACUGUUGUAUGGGAAGAACAGCUAGAAUAGGGAAUGAUUUUAGUUUGACGGUACCAUACCAGAAAGGGACGGCUAAAUACGUGCCAGCAGCCGCGGUAAUACGUAUGUCCCGAGCGUUAUCCGGAUUUAUUGGGCGUAAAGCGAGCGCAGACGGUUGAUUAAGUCUGAUGUGAAAGCCCGGAGCUCAACUCCGGAAUGGCAUUGGAAACUGGUUAACUUGAGUGCAGUAGAGGUAAGUGGAACUCCAUGUGUAGCGGUGGAAUGCGUAGAUAUAUGGAAGAACACCAGUGGCGAAAGCGGCUUACUGGACUGUAACUGACGU
rnacentral:rRNA from 1 species